rnacentral:rRNA from 1 species
CCGGGGACUCAUGGGAGACUGCCGGGGUCAACUCGGAGGGAAGUGGGGAGUGACGUCAAAUCAUCAUGCCCCUUAUGUCUUGGGCUUCACGCAUGCUACAAUGGCCGGUACAAAGGGCUGCGAUACCGCGAGGUGGAGCGAAUCCCAGAAAGCCGGUCUCAGUUCGGAUUGGGGUCUGCAACUCGACCCCAUGAAGUCGGAGUCGCUAGUAAUCGCAGAUCAGCAACGCUGCGGUGAAUACGUUCCCGGGCCUU